rnacentral:tRNA from 1 species
GGGUAUAGCUCAGUGGUGGAGCAUGUACUUAGCAUGCGUGAGGUCCUGGGUUCAAUCCCCAGUAUGUCCU